CAAUUUGCAUCAUCUUUGAGCAACCACUCCCGGAAGAAACUCCACCCUUGCUACGAUUAUAUUUCUUUAGAUGUUGGUCGGCUCACCUUUUUUUACAAAAAGGAGGAUUACCCCUGGCCUCUACAUCUGGACGAUGAAUGCAGCCAUUUUAUUAAUUAUUCACAAAGGCCUUACAAGUAGUACAUCCGUUUGUUCGAAGCCAUCAUCUUAGCAACAACUAUCGCUACUCCUAACCACUUGAUGAAGGGGUGCCGAUAGUGUCCGAGCCUAAUACCAAACAGACAUCGCACCAAAGCCUAACAUCUAAAGCCGGAGGCUCCAACCGAGCCACAUAUUGGAUUUAUGGUACAAACCGGUCCGAUGCACUCUCAUGUAUCGUCGCUCCCAUCUUCCACCAAUCCGUUUUCAGAGAAGAAACCAACACACCGACUUGCUAGACCUCUCUGCCAUCGACGCCACCAUGACGCCAGGGAGCUUCCACCUCCUGCACGAGUCAAUCUCCACGCAUCAGACACUGAGUCUCCGCUGCGCCACGCUGCCGAGAUCCACCGCCAUCAGUGAGUAAGAUGAAGCACAGCUCCACCAAAAAAGUCGUCCACCUACAAUGGUACUCUGUUUUCCAGUGUCUAUGUGAUGUGUAUUGAUGAAACCAACAUGAGAACUAAGCAUGGACUCGCUUGCAGGUGCCUCAGGUGCCAUUUUUAGUAUGAGGAUGUGCUACAGAUUAGAUUUCGCUCCGUUGUGC
rnacentral:lncRNA from 1 species